rnacentral:rRNA from 1 species
GACGAACCGUGCGAACGUUAUUCGGAAUCACUGGGCUUAAAGCGCGUGUAGGCGGGUCGGCACGUCGGUCGCUGAAAUCCCCCGGCUCAACCGGGGAACGGGCCCCGAUACGACCGACCUGGAGGGGGGUAGGGGGAGCCGGAACUUCCGGUGGAGCGGUGAAAUGCGUUGAGAUCGGAAGGAACGCCCGUGGCGAAAGCGGGCUCCUGGACCCCACCUGACGCUGAGACGCGAAAGCCAGGGGAGCGAACGGG